UUCCCUUCGGGGACAUUGGUGACAGGUGGUGCAUGGUUGUCGUCAGCUCGUGUCGUGAGAUGUUGGGUUAAGUCCCGCAACGAGCGCAACCCUUGUCUUUAGUUGCCAUCAUUAAGUUGGGCACUCUAGAGAGACUGCCAGGGAUAACCUGGAGGAAGGUGGGGAUGACGUCAAAUCAUCAUGCCCCUUAUGCUUAGGGCUACACACGUGCUACAAUGGGUAGUACAGAGGGUUGCCAAGCCGUAAGGUGGAGCUAAUCCCUUAAAGCUACUCUCAGUUCGGAUUGUAGGCUGAAACUCGCCUACAUGAAGCUGGAGUUACUAGUAAUCGCAGAUCAGAAUGCUGCGGUGAAUGCGUUCCCAGGUCUUGUACACACCGCCCGUCACACCACGGGAGUUGGAGACGCCCGAAGCCGACUAUCUAACCUUUUGGAAGAAGUCGUCGAAGGUGGAAUCAAUAACUGGGGUGAAGUCGUAACAAGGUAGCCGU
rnacentral:rRNA from 1 species